UGGGGUAUAUUGGACAAUGGGCGAAAGCCUGAUCCAGCCAUGCCGCGUGUGUGAAGAAGGUCUUCGGAUUGUACAGCACUUUAAGUUGGGAGGAAGGGCAGUAAGCGAAUACCUUGCUGUUUUGACGUUACCGACAGAAUAAGCACCGGCUAACUCUGUGCCAGCAGCCGCGGUAAUACAGAGGGUGCAAGCGUUAAUCGGAAUUACUGGGCGUAAAGCGCGCGUAGGUGGUUCGUUAAGUUGAAUGUGAAAGCCCCGGGCUCAACCUGGGAACUGCAUCCAAAACUGGCGAGCUAGAGUAGGGCAGAGGGUGGUGGAAUUUCCUGUGUAGCGGUGAAAUGCGUAGAUAUAGGAAGGAACACCAGUGGCGAAGGCGACCACCUGGGCUCAUACUGACACUGAGGUGCGAAAGCGUGGGGAGCAAACAGG
rnacentral:rRNA from 1 species